rnacentral:rRNA from 1 species
CCUACGGGAGGCAGCAGUGAGGAAUAUUGCUCAAUGGGCGCUAGCCUGAACCAGCCACGCCGCGUGAAGGAUGACUGCCUUCUGGGCUGUAAACUCUUUCUACAUGGGAGUAAAGUGCAGUAUGUAUACUGCUUUGCAUGUACCUUAUGUAUAAGGAUCGGCUAACUCCGUGCCAGCAGCCGCGGUAAUACGGAGGGUGCGAGCGUUAUCCGGAUUUAGUGGGUUUAAAGGGAGCGUAGGCGGGUUGUUAAGUCAGUUGUGAAAGUUUGGGGCUCAACCGUAAUAUUGCAGUUGAUACUGGCAACCUUGAGUGCAGGAGAGGUAGGCGGAAUUCGUGGUGUAGCGGUGAAAUGCGUAGAUAUCAGGAAGAACACCGAUUGCGAAGGCAGCCUGCUGGACUGUAACUGACGCUGAGGCUCGAAAGUGUGGGUAGCAAACAGGAUUAGAUACCCUAGUAGUC